UAGGGAAUCUUCCACAAUGGACGCAAGUCUGAUGGAGCAACGCCGCGUGAGUGAAGAAGGUUUUCGGACCGUAAAGCUCUGUUGUUGGUGAAGAAGGAUAGAGGUAGUAACUGGCCUUUAUUUGACGGUAAUCAACCAGAAAGUCACGGCUAACUACGUGCCAGCAGCCGCGGUAAUCGUAGGUGGCAAGCGUUGUCCGGAUUUAUUGGGCGUAAAGCGAGCGCAGGCGGAAGAAUAAGUCUGAUGUGAAAGCCCUCGGCUUAACCGAGGAAUUGCAUCGGAAACUGUUUUCUUGAGUGCAGAAGAGGAGAGUAGAACUCCAUGUGUAGCGGUGGAAUGCGUAGAUAUAUGGAAGAAUACCAGUGGCGAAGGCGGCUCUCUGGUCUGCAACUGACGCUGAGGCUCGAAAGCAUGGGUAGCGAACAGGAUUAGAUACCCUGGUAGUCCAUGCCGUAAACGACGAGUGCUAAGUGUUGGGAGGCUUCCGCCUCUCAGUGCUGCAGCUAACGCAUUAAGCACUCCGCCUGGGGGAGUACGACCGCAAGGUUGAAAC
rnacentral:rRNA from 1 species